AAGCCUGCGAAGGUGUGCUGUGAGGCAUGCUGGAGGUAUCAGAAGUGCGAAUGCUGACAUAAGUAACGAUAAAGCGGGUGAAAAGCCCGCUCGCCGGAAGACCAAGGGUUCCUGUCCAACGUUAAUCGGGGCAGGGUGAGUCGACCCCUAAGGCGAGGCCGAAAGGCGUAGUCGAUGGGAAACAGGUUAAUAUUCCUGUACUUGGUGUUACUGCGAAGGGGGGACGGAGAAGGCUAUGUUGGCCGGGCGACGGUUGUCCCGGUUUAAGCGUGUAGGCUGGUUUUCCAGGCAAAUCCGGAAAAUCAAGGCUGAGGCGUGAUGACGAGGCACUGCGGUGCUGAAGCAACAAAUGCCCUGCUUCCAGGAAAAGCCUCUAAGCAUCAGGUAACAUCAAAUCGUACCCCAAACCGACACAGGUGGUCAGGUAGAGAAUACCAAGGCGCUUGAGAGAACUCGGGUGAAGGAACUAGGCAAAAUGGUGCCGUAACUUCGGGAGAAGGCACGCUGAUAUGUAGGUGAAGUCCCUCGCGGAUGGAGCUGAAAUCAGUCGAAGAUACCAGCUGGCUGCAACUGUUUAUUAAAAACACAGCACUGUGCAAACACGAAAGUGGACGUAUACGGUGUGACGCCUGCCCGGUGCCGGAAGGUUAAUUGAUGGGGUUAGCGCAAGCGAAGCUCUUGAUCGAAGCCCCGGUAAACGGCGGCCGUAACUAUAACGGUCCUAAGGUAGCGAAAUUCCUUGUCGGGUAAGUUCCGACCUGCACGAAUGGCGUAAUGAUGGCCAGGCUGUCUCCACCCGAGACUCAGUGAAAUUGAACUCGCUGUGAAGAUGCAGUGUACCCGCGGCAAGACGGAAAGACCCCGUGAACCUUUACUAUAGCUUGACACUGAACAUUGAGCCUUGAUGUGUAGGAUAGGUGGGAGGCUUUGAAGUGUGGACGCCAGUCUGCAUGGAGCCGACCUUGAAAUACCACCCUUUAAUGUUUGAUGUUCUAACGUUGACCCGUAAUCCGGGUUGCGGACAGUGUCUGGUGGGUAGUUUGACUGGGGCGGUCUCCUCCUAAAGAGUAACGGAGGAGCACGAAGGUUGGCUAAUCCUGGUCGGACAUCAGGAGGUUAGUGCAAUGGCAUAAGCCAGCUUGACUGCGAGCGUGACGGCGCGAGCAGGUGCGAAAGCAGGUCAUAGUGAUCCGGUGGUUCUGAAUGGAAGGGCCAUCGCUCAACGGAUAAAAGGUACUCCGGGGAUAACAGGCUGAUACCGCCCAAGAGUUCAUAUCGACGGCGGUGUUUGGCACCUCGAUGUCGGCUCAUCACAUCCUGGGGCUGAAGUAGGUCCCAAGGGUAUGGCUGUUCGCCAUUUAAAGUGGUACGCGAGCUGGGUUUAGAACGUCGUGAGACAGUUCGGUCCCUAUCUGCCGUGGGCGCUGGAGAACUGAGGGGGGCUGCUCCUAGUACGAGAGGACCGGAGUGGACGCAUCACUGGUGUUCGGGUUGUCAUGCCAAUGGCACUGCCCGGUAGCUAAAUGCGGAAGAGAUAAGUGCUGAAAGCAUCUAAGCACGAAACUUGCCCCGAGAUGAGUUCUCCCUGACUCCUUGAGAGUCCUGAAGGAACGUUGAAGACGACGACGUUGAUAGGCCGGGUGUGUAAGCGCAGCGAUGCGUUGAGCUAACCGGUACUAAUGAACCGUGAGG
rnacentral:rRNA from 1 species